AACGAACGCUGGCGGUAUGCUUAACACAUGCAAGUCGAACGGACUUAUUAGAGCUUGCUUUAAUAAGUUAGUGGCAAACGGGUGAGUAACACGUGGGAAUCUACCCAUCAGUACGGAAUAACAUUUGGAAACAAAUGCUAAUACCGUAUAUUCUCUACGGAGGAAAGAUUUAUCGCUGAUGGAUGAGCCCGCGUUAGAUUAGGUAGUUGGUAGGGUAAUGGCCUACCAAGCCGACGAUCUAUAGCUGGUCUGAGAGGAUGAUCAGCCACACUGGGACUGAGACACGGCCCAGACUCCUACGGGAGGCAGCAGUGGGGAAUAUUGGACAAUGGGCGAAAGCCUGAUCCAGCAAUACCGCGUGAGUGAUGAAGGCCUUAGGGUUGUAAAGCUCUUUCAGGAGGGACGAAGGGUGACCGGUGAACAGCCGUGUCACUUGACGGUACCUCCACAAGAAGCACCGGCUAACUACGUGCCAGCAGCCGCGGUAAGGUAG
rnacentral:rRNA from 1 species